CCCCUCUCAGGAUUGCACCUGGAGAGUUUCCAAUACUCUACCAGCCUCACCUAUGGGAGGGGGAGUCAAGCAGAGGCAUACUUACUCCAUUCCUAGCUUGGGCAGUGGCUAGUGAGUGGAAGGCAAUCUACUACAAGU